rnacentral:rRNA from 1 species
UACGUAGGGGGCAAGCGUUGUCCGGAUUUAUUGGGCGUAAAGAGCGUGUAGGCGGCUGGGUAGGUCCGUUGUGAAAACUCGAGCUCAACCUCGAGACGCCGGUGGAAACCAUCAGACUAGAGUCCGGAAGAGGAGAGUGGAAGUUCCUGGUGUAGCGGUGAAAUGCGCAGAUAUCAGGAAGAACACCCGUGGCUAAGGCGGCUCUCUAGUACCGGGUACUUGACGGCUGAGACGCGAAAGCGUGGGGAGCGAACAGG